rnacentral:rRNA from 1 species
UACAGAGGGUGCAAGCGUUGUUCGGAAUUACUGGGCGUAAAGCGCGUGUAGGCGGCCCUGCAAGUCGGGUGUGAAAUCCCACGGCUCAACCGUGGAAGUGCACUCGAAACUGCAGGGCUAGAGUCCUGGAGAGGAAGGUGGAAUGCUUGGUGUAGAGGUGAAAUUCGUAGAUAUCAAGCGGAACACCGGUGGCGAAGGCGGCCUUCUGGACAGUGACUGACGCUGAGACGCGAAAG